UAGAAACAGAUCUUCUUCUGAUGAUGAUGAUGAUGAUGCUUUGCCAAGUUAUCAAACCUCUCAAAUAAUCACAAAUACAGAGAAUUUCGAUUUGUCUGUUGAUAGUCCCUUUGGCUUAGACUUCAGCGCUAUACCGGAUUUUAAUAAUAUUUUGGAAUUGGCGCCAGAUUAUGCCACAAAAAUGGAUGAUGCGACGGCUGAUGGUAUUCUACGGGAUAUAUUGAACAAACCUGAUUAUUGUCACAACACCUCUAUACAGAACAGCAAUGUUGUUGAUGAGCAACCGUUUUUCCCACACGCGACAGGGGGUCGUGCUAAAACAUUCGAAUAUAAAGCAGGUGUGUAA